rnacentral:rRNA from 1 species
UACGAAGGGGGCUAGCGUUGCUCGGAAUCACUGGGCGUAAAGGGUGCGUAGGCGGGUCUUUUAAGUCAGGGGUGAAAUCCUGGAGCUCAACUCCAGAACUGCCUUUGAUACUGAGGAUCUUGAGUACGGGAGAGGUGAGUGGAACUGCGAGUGUAGAGGUGAAAUACGUAGAGAUUGGGAAGAACACCAGUGGCGAAGGCGGCUAUCUGGACGGUUUCUGACGCUAAGACGCGAAAGCGUGGGGAGCAAACAGG